UGAGCUUACCAGAACGUUUCUGGGAUCAUUUAACAGAGACAGUCUCCAUCCAUCACGCAGUCAUUUAUCUAGGGCCUUCUUCGCCAUUAAAUGUUUUGAUUGGCUCCGAUCCUACUAGAACCAACACCAAUCUCUCAAGUGCAAGCCAAAUAAAGAGUUAUGGAGCGUGAAUGUCUGCUGAUUGAGAUUGACGACCAUGUCGCUAGACUUAUCGGAACUGACCUUUACCUGAUAAAGAAAAAAGUCACUGGCAUAAUAAAAGAGUCGGACUUCAACAAAAUAGA
rnacentral:sRNA from 1 species